AUGAAGUGCCAGAAAUUAUUGCACAUAGCAUUUUAAGAUUUGUAAAGGUUUGGUUUAAUAAGCAGACCUGUGUUAUGUCCAGCUGCUGCUUCAUUUGUAACCCCUGUAACUCUCUCAAGCGCCCCCCGUGGGAAAACGAUCUUCCCUCGAAUGAAGCUCGAGUCGCUUCCCAGACGCAGACGGUAGUAUUCGCAUCUCGGGCCUCGUCCUUCUCUUUCACCAAGACUGGUGCAGCUUACUCAACAUCUCAUCCCUCCCUGGUCGUACCCAUCGCUUCCAUUGUCAUGGUUCUCCUUUCUUCUCAUAAAGUUGGCUUCUAUGUCACCAGUCUCGUGUUGAGAUCCUCGACUUGGUUCGGAAUUCGUAGUGCUGUAGCCAAGCGCGAGUCCUCCUGCUGGCAGUAUUCAGUUAUGGCUAGUAAAAUUGAUGGCGGUGGAGAUGCUAAUGUGCGUGAUGCGAGCAAGAGAAGUUACCAAGUUGUCGUGGCCGCGACUCGCGACAUGGGCAUCGGGAAGGAUGGGAAGUUGCCAUGGAAGUUGCCUUCGGAUCUCAAGUUCUUCAAGGAGCUUACAUCUACUACCUCGGAUCCGAGAAAGAAGAACGCGGUAUUGAUGGGUAGUAGGACUUGGGAGAGCAUCCCUCUCCAGUUUCAGCCUCUAUCUGGGCGGUUGAAUGUCAUAUUGACCCGCUCCGGGAGGGUGGAGACUGAAUUGUCUGAGGAUGUUGUUUUAUGUGGAAGCAGGGCAUCAGCUCUUGAGUUGCUUGCGUCAUCUCGCUAUUGUUCAGCAAUAGAGAAUGUGUUUGUCAUAGGAGGUGGCCAGUUACUGAGGGAAGCGCUAAAUGCUCCGGAUUGUGUUGCUAUACAUAUUACUGAGAUUGAGGAUCAUGUUGACUGUGACACCUUCAUUCCCUCUAUCGAUUUGUCUGUGUUUCGGCCAUGGUGCGCAUCUCCUCCAAUGGUGGAAAACGAUAUCAGACAUUCCUUUGUGACCUAUGUUCGCAUGAGGGAUUCUCAACUGGAGCACCCUGCAUCAGGCACAACGACCAACUUUUGUGAUGCUUCAAAUUUCAGAAGCUUUGACUUCCUUCCAAAGCUGAUUCUUGACAGACAUGAGGAGUACGUGUAUUUGAAUCUGAUUCAAGAAAUUAUAUCAAGCGGGAAACAUAAAACUGACAGGAGUGGGACUGGCAUUCUGUCAAAAUUCGGCUGUCAGAUGAGGUUCAAUCUUAGGAAAUCUUUUCCUCUCUUUACUACGAGAAAGGAGCUGUUAUGGGGUGAAAUUGUUGAAGAACUCCUCUGGUCAGUCAGUGGUUCAGCUGGUGCAAAGGUUCCACCAGAGAUGAUCGUUCACACUUGGGGUGGCCGAGAACACCUUAAAAGUUUGACAUAUAGGGAAGAAGAUGAUUCGGAGGCAAUGUUCAAAUUUCAGCAUAGACAAUUAUGUGCAAGAUUUGAAUGUGAGCAUGCUGAGUACAAGGGCCAAGGGCUUGACAAGUUGCUUAUGGUUAUUGACAAUAUCAAUAAACGAUUGGAUAGUGCACUUGUCAUCCUCUCAGUAUAUGAUCCCUUGGAUCCGAAAGUCAGAGAAUGUCCACCUGGUUACACGUUUGCACAGUUUUAUGUGGAGAAGGGGGAACUUUCCUGUCGAAUAUGCUGGGCAUCAGCUGAUGUUGGUCAUGUGGUUCCAUAUUAUAUAGCAUCUUAUGCUCUCUUGACCUGCCUGAUCGCUCAUGUCUGCAGCUUUCUCCCUGGUGACCUAACUGCCGAACUUGGGGAAGCAUAUGUUCAAGAAGCUCAUAUCAAGCCACUCCAAGAGCAGCUUCGGAGACAUCCUAAACCUUUCCCUGUAAGGAAUGCUGAGUCAGGCUAAAUUCUUUACUACGUGAGAUAUGCUAGUGUUUCCUGGAAGUUACAUGAUCUCAUUAUGCUCGUCCAGAAGUAAACCAUCUGCAUUUUAUUCUGGGUCAUGUGUACACUGAUGAAGUGUGAGCUACAGAAUUUGCAAUUUUGAGGGUCAACCCUAGAAAGAAGGAUAUCGAUUCAUUUGUUGUAUCGGACUUUGAACUUACAAACUAGCACUCUCUCGGAUCAAUAGAGAAGAUGGUGAUGUAGAGCUGAAAGAAGGGGUACGAAGAGAAUUCGAAGCACCAUCUCCUCAAGUGCAAUGUAAAGUCGUCUCUCUUAUAAGCUGGAGCGACAAACUUUGAACAGUUAUUCGUCUCUUUUAGUGUCUUGAGGUUGAAACUACUUUUUUUCCCCUACCGUUUAUGAAGUUGCUAUCGUUCUCUUGUUCUAUACAAGUCCUCAUACUUAGGUAGGAGGAGCAACUUUGUGUGCUCUCUCAAUUUUUGUGAGAAUACAUGUGCAUAAAAUGCAGAAAGUUAAUCUGGU